UGGGGAAUAUUGGGCAAUGGGGGAAACCCUGACCCAGCAACGCCGCGUGAGGGAAGAAGGCUUUCGAGUUGUAAACCUCUGUCCUAUGGGAAGAAGAAAGUGACUGUACCAUAGGAGGAAGCUCCGGCUAACUACGUGCCAGCAGCCGCGGUAAUACGUAGGGAGCAAGCGUUGUCCGGAAUUACUGGGCGUAAAGGGUGCGUAGGCGGCGCAGUUAGUCAGAAGUGAAAUAUCGGGGCUUAACCCCGGGGCUGCUUCUGAUACUGCUGUGCUCGAGUGCAGGAGAGGUAAGUGGAAUUCCUA
rnacentral:rRNA from 1 species